UGUAAACAGUGUAACACCAAUGUGAACAUGGCUUCAGUAAAAUCUUGUCAAUGACAGAGGACUUCAAGACCAACGAUUUACAUAUACACAUCAUUGCUUCAGAUACGUGAAAGAAACUAAUAUUUCGUUUUUUUUAAACAACAAAUAUGAGGCUUCAUCAGAUACUCCGCAAUGGAGCAAACUUCAGGACGGUCUUUGACUUCGGCGUCAGAGAGGUUGCCCACUGGUUCCCCAGACAUAUGGCAAAAGGUCUGAAACAGAUGAAGGCCAGUGUGAAGAAUGUUGACUGCAUCCUAGAAAUCCACGAUGCCAGAAUCCCGUUCUCGGGUAGAAACCCUCUUUUCCAGGAUAGUCUGGACGUCAGACCUCAUCUCCUGGUGCUGAACAAGAUGGACCUGGCUGACCUGUCUGCCAAGCAUAUGAUUUUGAAACAGCUUGAAAGACAUGGAGUGAAGAAGGUCCUGUUCACAGACUGCCUCAGACAGAGAGAUGACAACGUCAAAAAGCUGGUUCCCAUGGUCACAGAAUUAAUCGAGAGCCAGCCACGCUUCCACCGAGAGGAGAACACCAACUUCUGUCUGAUGGUGAUUGGGGUGCCCAACGUUGGAAAGUCAUCACUCAUCAAUGCUCUGAGGAGAACCAACCUCAAGAAAGGUCGGGGGUCAAAAGUAGGAGGGGAACCAGGCAUUACCAAAGCAGUGUUGACUAGAAUACAGGUGUGUGAGAGACCCAUCAUCCAUCUUCUAGAUACGCCUGGUGUCCUUCCUCCGAAGAUACAGAGUCUGGAGACAGGCAUGAAGCUAGCCCUAUGUGGAACCAUCCUGGACCAUCUAGUAGGAGAAGACAUCAUGGCAGACUACCUACUGUUCUCUCUCAAUAGACUGGAGAAGUACAGUUACGUGGAGAGGUAUGAUCUCAGUGAGCCUAGUGAUGACAUCCAGCAGGUGUUGAAACGUAUCGCUGUCAAACUGGGAAAGACUCAACGGGUUAAAGCCAUCACUGGAGUAACAUCACCCUCACAGUGCCUAACUACACAGCAGCAGCCUAUGAUUUCAUCAGAGCGUUCAGGAAGGGAGAGCUGGGACAGGUCAUGCUGGACUGACCACUACCACACCACAGACUGACUACAACACAGACUGAUCACUCUCUCACCAGAGACCUUGUAGGAAACUCAAGAGUGCAGAUGGCAGAGAGGUUGGCAGGGGGUCCAGACUGCUGCAGGGUACACGCUCACCUUCCAGACAGUAGCAGCAUCCAGCGGCUGGAACGAGCGGGCGCUUCGUACGCUAUUCAGAAGAGGACUGUGCGAGGAGGUCCAGAUGGAACUGGCCUGUCGAGACAACAACCUCUCCUUGCACGCACUCAUUGCAAUGGCCAUCUGUCACAAUAACCUACUUCGGGAGCGUUUGGUACUCUCAUCUCUUUCAUUAAGGGUGGUCCCCGUAGGUUGGUGUGGAGCCCAACAUGAACAUCCCACUCUGCAAGAAACCGAGCCCCCGGUUUGUGAGGCCGUUCAAGGUCCUCCGGAGGGUCAACGAGGUAACGUAUAGAUUACAGCUUCCCAGUGACUACCAUACCAUAUCUUUUCAUGUCUCCCUUCUCAGGCCGGUGGUUCCUGAUCUCCUAGCUGAUGCUGUCCCCAACGACACCCCUCCACCCCCCCUGGACAUCAACGGGAGUCCGGCCUAUGCCAUCAAAUCCCAACUGGACUACUGACGUCGUGGGGGUCGGCUCCAGUACCUGGUGGACUGGGAGGUGUAUUGCCCAGAGGAGCGGUGUUGGGUUCCGGUGGAGGACAUUCUGGAUCCCAACAUCAUCUGUGAUUUCCACCUUCACAGCCUGGACCGGCCCGCUCCUCGUCCUCAGGUCUUCCGUCUGGUUGGCGUCGUCCUGCGGCUGGAGCCGCGCAUCAGAGGGGCAGUACUGUCAUGUCUACUCCCGCUCCUCCCCUCCGGCGUUCGGUGUCGCCGGUAUACUAACCACCGGUCCUAGGAUCCAUCAUUACGCAAACCUGCACAUCAUCAUGAGGCACACCUGGAUUCUAUUACCUCCCCUAUAUCUGGUACUCCCUUAGGUUCCUUUCCCAGUCAGUAUUUAUCCUGUGUUUAUGCAUAGACCCUACUGUUAUCUCAUUCCAUGUUUGUUUUAUUAAACGUUUCACCUGCACUUAC